AGGGCUAUAUCUCCGUGAUAGAGAAUCUGCUUUGCAUGUAGAAUGUCCCAGGUUCAAUCCCUAGCAUCUCUG